GACGAACGCUGGCGGCGUGCUUAACACAUGCAAGUCGAACGGUAAGGCCCUUCGGGGUACACGAGUGGCGAACGGGUGAGUAACACGUGGGUGAUCUGCCCUGCACUUCGGGAUAAGCCUGGGAAACUGGGUCUAAUACCGGAUAGGACUCCUGGCUUCAUGGUUGGGGGUGGAAAGCUUUUGCGGUGUGGGAUGGGCCCGCGGCCUAUCAGCUUGGUGGUGGGGUAAUGGCCUACCAAGGCGGCGACGGGUAGCCGGCCUGGGAGGGUGACCGGUCACACUGGGACUGAGAUACGGCCCAGACUCCUACGGGAGGCAGCAGUGGGGAAUAUUGCACAAUGGGCGCAAGCCUGAUGCAGCGACGCCGCGUGAGGGAUGACGGCCUUCGGGUUGUAAACCUCUUUCAGCUAUGACGAAGCGCAAGUGACGGUAGUAGCAGAAGAAGGACCGGCCAACUACGUGCCAGCCGCCGCGGUAA
rnacentral:rRNA from 1 species